rnacentral:rRNA from 1 species
GACGAACGCUGGCGGCGUGCCUAAUACAUGCAAGUUGAGCGCUGAAGGUUGGUACUUGUACCAACUGGAUGAGCAGCGAACGGGUGAGUAACGCGUGGGGAAUCUGCCUUUGAGCGGGGGACAACAUUUGGAAACGAAUGCUAAUACCGCAUAAAAACUUUAAACACAAGUUUUAAGUUUGAAAGAUGCAAUUGCAUCACUCAAAGAUGAUCCCGCGUUGUAUUAGCUAGUUGGUGAGGUAAAGGCUCACCAAGGCGAUGAUACAUAGCCGACCUGAGAGGGUGACCGGCCACAAUGGGACUGAGACACGGCCCAAACUCCUACGGGAGGCAGCAGUAGGGAAUCUUCGGCAAUGGACGAAAGUCUGACCGAGCAACGCCGCGUGAGUGAAGAAGGUUUUCGGAUCGUAAAACUCUGUUGGUAGAGAAGAACGUUGGUGAGAGUGGAAAGCGCAUCAAGUGACGGUAACUACCCAGAAAGGGACGGCUAACUACGUG